GCCUAACACAAGCAAGUCGAGCGGAUGACGGGAGCUUGCUCCUUGAUUCAGCGGCGGACGGGUGAGUAAUGCCUAGGAAUCUGCCUGGUAGUGGGGGACAACGUUUCGAAAGGAACUGCUAAUACCUGCAUACGUCCUACGGGAGAAAGCAGGGGACCUUCGGGCCUUGCGCUAUCAGAUGAGCCUAGGUCGGAUUAGCUAGUUGGUGAGGUAAUGGCUCACCAAGGCGACGAUCCGUAACUGGUCUGAGAGGAUGAUCAGUCACACUGGAGCUGAGACACGGUCCAGACUCCUACGGGAGGCAGCAGUGGGGAAUAUUGGACAAUGGGCGAAAGCCUGAUCCAGCCAUGCCGCGUAGUGUGAAGAAGGUCUUUCGGAUUGUAAAAGCACUUUAAGUUGGGAGGAAACGGCACGUAAGUUAAUACCUUG
rnacentral:rRNA from 1 species